rnacentral:lncRNA from 1 species
UCCCCUCUCUCUCUCUCUCUCUCUCUCUCUGUCUCAUAUCAUGGUUGGCGGAUCUUAUUCCAACAGUUGCGCCAUUGAAUAAGCUAUUUCCAUCUUGACCAACUCUUCAUCCAACCAAUCAUUUUCUUUUUCUUCUUCCCCUUUCCUUUUCCACCUAUACUAUGUCCCCGGAGCUUGACUAUCUUCCACUCCAUCUUUGAUGAUUUCUCGCAAUAUUUCAAUUAAUUAGCUAUUUUGAUUUUCGGGUUUGUAAUUUUUGUGCUUUUUUCAACUGGGACAUCUCAAUUCACUGGAUUUUUGUACCAGUGGCAUCAAUUUUAGCAAGUGGGCUAAUUGGUAUGUAUGAUAUUUUCCAUAAUUUAUAGUCUUACCCCAGUUUUCUUGCUGUUCUGUGCAUAUCCCUUUUGGGUUUAGUUGAAAGAUAUGUUCUUUAAUGAAAUGUUUGAUUUGGUGUAAAUGUAUUAAUGACCUUGUGUAAGACAAUUCAUUCUGCAAUGUGGGAACUGGCUUUAUGUUUGAUUGAUUUUGUUAAGUAACCAACUCAUCUAAAAGCAUG